rnacentral:lncRNA from 1 species
CCUGUGUUUGUGGAGACAUACAGUCCAGAGGGCACAUGGGAGACAGAAUAUUCUUUUUCUUCCCCAGUACGAGAAGGCCCUGUAUCCUGCCUUUAGGAGCGUGGAAGCACAGUUGGGAAAUGAAGGUGCUGUGAGGGUGUCUGUGCUCAUACAGUGUGGACAGGAAGAGCUAUCAGUGCACAGAAACCACUACAGGCUGAAGUGGUCUCAGGAGACUCCUUGAGAAGGUCAAACUUGGUCUGGACUUCAAGGAAAAGUCAGGGUUAAAAUAAGAAAAAAAUGCUGACUGAUGCACGACAUGCAGGCUUUGCUGAGCAAGCUGAACUCGGUGUCCAGGGCAGGAGGAGACUGAAGAACAGGAUCUGUGUCCGGGAGCACCAGGAGCUGAAUUUGGAAAGUGGAGAACCAGAUUGCAACUUGCCCUGAAGACCAGAUUUCGGCUGCUACAGAAGACUCUGGAACAACGGAUUUAUAAAAGAAGCAUUUUCGUAAAUGCAAUUGGUCACUUUGAACAAGUCAAACUAGAGGUCAGAAAGACAAUUAAGAGAUCCUGUGAUAAUUGUGGACCAGUGAAAAAGGCCAUGAUUGGGGAGUUCUCCUCCCCAAGGUUCGUAAUAAUUCACAUUGGGAGCUUGUGGACUUCAAGAUGACUGAAAUCUUCCAAAGGAAACAAGAUGAAGUUUCUAUAAUGAGUAGAGAAUGGAAGAAAUGGUGGAGAAAAUCACCUGUGUGGCCCUGUGGGAAAAUCAAGACUACCUUAGAGGUACUGGAUAAUUGAUGUUAUCCAAAACCAAAGAAUUCUGGAUGGAGCUUGC